UACGAAGGGGGCUAGCGUUGUUCGGAAUUACUGGGCGUAAAGCGCGCGCAGGUGGUCUUUCAAGUCAGUGGUGAAAGCCCGGAGCUCAACUCCGGAAAUGCCAUUGAAACUGUGAGACUUGAGGACGAGAGAGGUGAGUGGAAUUCCCAGUGUAGAGGUGAAAUUCGUAGAUAUUGGGAAGAACACCGGUGGCGAAGGCGGAUCUCUGGGCCUGUCCUGACGCUCAGGCGCGAAAGCUAGGGGAGCAAACAGG
rnacentral:rRNA from 1 species